rnacentral:rRNA from 1 species
UACGUAGGGGGCAAGCGUUGUCCGGAUUUAUUGGGCGUAAAGAGCGUGUAGGCGGCCUGAAAGGUCAGCUGUGAAAACUCGAGGCUCAACCUCGAGACGUCGGUUGAAACCAUCUGGCUAGAGUCCGGAAGAGGAGAGUGGAAUUCCCGGUGUAGCGGUGAAAUGCGCAGAUAUCGGGAAGAACACCCGUGGCGAAGGCGGCUCUCUGGGACGGUACUGACGCUGAGACGCGAAAAGCG